CGGCCAGACCCUAACCAGGACAACGCAGGGCCAACUGUGCGCUGCMCUAUGGGACUCCCGGUUGUGAUACAUCCCGGGAUCAAACCAGAGUCUGUAGUGACGCCUCUCGCACUGUGAUGCAGUGCCUUAGACCGCUGCCCCACUCAGGAGUAUCAUCACUGACCGGCGAGUUGAGUUUGUAAGCGAUGUACCUAGUCUUACAGUCACUGAUGUCAAACAUUGGUCAUGAAAAGGCUAACACUUUCGAAUCAUAACCAURCAAGUGCUAUGUUUGUCACUUUUUCAUUUUCAGCUCAACAGAUCCAUAAUAGACAUAAGGUUUGCCCAGCUAGACGCCAAUACGGAGCUAGUAGCAGAAAUGGACACCAAAGAURUGAGUAUACAAAUAUAUUAGAAGUGUAGUAAUUAAUGUAAUGUCUGUAACACAAACAUCUCCCCUGGUACACAACAGAGUAACACUUUCUCUCAAUAGGUGAAAACACUUCCCGUGUGUACAUUCAUAUCCUGGUUGUGCAGUUGGACUAACAGCAGACAUGUCCAUGUCUUGUUACCUGAAGAUCAGAGUGUACAACUCAAAAGGCUCCCGCCAAGGCAUCAGGUCAGAGGGUCUGGACUUGCUGAGGUACCUCAACCCUCUCCAUACUUCAAUUUCAAAACACAUGGGAAAUCGUGGUUGUGGUAUAUUAACCCUUUACACUAGUGGGAAUUGGCUGAUACGGAUAGGGCUAAAUUGAAAUGUUUCUUACAUAAGAAAUAUGAAAUGCAUAUGCAUAACCAGGAUAGCAAUUGAAAGGGAACAGUUUGGAAAAGUAUUAGACAAAGAUGAGGACACAACAAUAAGAGAAGCAGAAAUAUUAACAAAAUCUGAAAAUACUCUGGAUAUAAUCAGUAACAUAAUAAGACUAUUUCUGGGGUAGGUACGUGCAACAUGAGACAAAAACAUUUACAGACAACAAAACAUUUGCUAAAGUUGCAGGGUACAAGUGUAAAGGGAUACAUAACAAAAUACUGUAUUUAUUGCAGCAAUGCCUUCCGGGAACGUAUGGGAUCUGAGUGAAUCAUAAAGGCGCCGGAGGGGAUGGAUGCCGUUUUACGGGCUCCUAACCAACUGUGCUAUUU